rnacentral:rRNA from 1 species
UGGGGAAUAUUGGACAAUGGGCGAAAGCCUGAUCCAGCCAUGCCGCGUGUGUGAAGAAGGUCUUUUGGUUGUAAAGCACUUUAAGUGGGGAGGAAAAGCUUAUGGUUAAUACCCAUAAGCCCUGACGUUACCCACAGAAUAAGCACCGGCUAACUCUGUGCCAGCAGCCGCGGUAAUACAGAGGGUGCAAGCGUUAAUCGGAAUUACUGGGCGUAAAGCGCGCGUAGGUGGUUAUUUAAGUCAGAUGUGAAAGCCCCGGGCUUAACCUGGAAACUGCAUCUGAUACUGGAUAACUAGAGUAGGUGAGAGGGGAGUAGAAUUCCAGGUGUAGCGGUGAAAUGCGUAGAGAUCUGGAGGAAUACCGAUGGCGAAGGCAGCUCCCUGGCAUCAUACUGACACUGAGGUGCGAAAGCGUGGGUAGCAAACAGGAUUAGAUACCCUGGUAGUCCACGCCGUAAACGAUGUCUACCAGUCGUUGGGUCUUUUAAAGACUUAGUGACGCAGUUAACGCAAUAAGUAGACCGCCUGGGGAGUACGGCCGCAAGGUUA